CUCGGCGCUCUGCAACUCAAAGCCGCUGCCUC
rnacentral:scRNA from 1 species